rnacentral:misc_RNA from 1 species
AACCAUAGAAACCUGCGGAGUACCUGCGGAAGGAUCAUUACCGAGUUUACAACUCCCAAACCCCUGUGAACAUACCACUUGUUGCCUCGGCGGAUCAGCCCGCUCCCGGUAAAACGGGACGGCCCGCCAGAGGACCCCUAAACUCUGUUUCUAUAUGUAACUUCUGAGUAAAACCAUAAAUAAAUCAAAACUUUUAACAACGGAUCU